GUCAGCUUACCCUGGCAAACCUGCACCCCUUAGUCUAUUGCUUUAAUACCCCUAAUUAAGAGAACAUGAGACUUACUGAGGGUCUUCUGGUAUUUUUUUCCAGAAGAUUCCAUGUCUGAUAUGCAUUUUGUGGAAGGAAUCUGUAGUCCAUCACACUUCCCACCUCAGCACCAUGUCAUAAAAAGGGAGAAGUAUUGCUUACAUGGAGGACUUAACGUGUGCUGACUUUGCACCUCUGUGGCUGAUCUUCCUCUGCCUACU
rnacentral:lncRNA from 1 species